UCACUGGUGGUUCAAAUGGUAAAAAAUCUGCUUGAAAUGCAGUAGACCCAGGUUUGAUCCCUGGAUUGGGAA
rnacentral:tRNA from 1 species